CUCACCUCUUACCAUUCCGAACAGAGAAGUUAAGCCCGUUAGCGCCAAUGGUACUACAAUCGUGGGAGAGUAGGUCGCCGCCUUCC
rnacentral:rRNA from 1 species